rnacentral:rRNA from 1 species
GACGAACGCUGGCGGCGUGCCUAAUACAUGCAAGUAGAACGAAUUUGCGAACGGGGGAGUAACGCGGACGUACCUGCCUCAUAGCGGGGGAGACAUAUUGGAAACAAUAGCUAAAACCCAAUACUGUAAGAUGGACCUGCGUUGUAUGAGCUAGUUGGUGAGGUAAAGUCUCACCAAGGCGACGAUAAAUAGCCGACCUGAGAGGGUGAUAGGCAACACUGGGACUGAGACACGGCCCAGACUCCUACGGGAGGCAGCAGUGGGGAAUCUUCGGCAAUGGACGAAAGUCUGACCGAGCAACGCCGCGUGAGUGAGGACGGUCUUCGGAUCGUAAAGCUCUGUUGUUAGAGACGCGGUAACUAACCAGAAAGGGACGGCUAACUACGUGCCAGCAGCCGCGGUAAUUC